rnacentral:lncRNA from 1 species
UUCUUCUUCUUGUUCUUCUUUCCUUUCUUAAAAGGUCGAGAACCAGAAGACGAACCUCCCACUAAGUUCACCGACUCCUUGUGAAGUUGGUGAUCCUUCUCAAAGUUCUGAAGCAACCCCAGUAACCCGUGGUAGUUCUCUUCAGGCUUUGUCAUUCUAUAAUGAGUGAGGAAUGGGAGAUAAGACUUGGGCAGCGAGUUUAGUAUUGCAUCUUUCCCAAGUUGCUCAUGCAAGGAAAAGCCGAGCUUGCUCAAUCGUUCCAUCAGCUCGAUCAUGUACAAUACAUGAUC